CCUGCCCAAUGGUUGUAUCUAAAAGCGGUUGAUAAAAGUCGACCGCGUAAGGACAAUUGAAUGGCCGCGGUAACACUGACCGUGAUAAUGUAGCGUAAUCAAUAGCCAAUUAAUUGUUGGCCAGUAUGAAUGGCGCCACGAAGGCCCCACUGUCUUAAGGAAAUUCCCAGUGAAAUUGAAUUCGUAGUGAAGAUGCUACGUCCAAUUUGUUAGACGAAAAGACCCCGUUGAGCUUUACUGGGGCACUUACACGGCCCCGGCCUUCAAGACUGGGUUGAUAAGCCAAGGCUUACCAUACCUAGGGACCGGCCGAAUUUAAAUGGGCGGCUUAGACUAUGUGGCAGCCCCCCCCGUCGGGGCAGAUGAAACCCCACUCCCCCAUGUCAAAGGGGCUAACCCCCCCCCCUUGGGGGGGGACAAUGUAAGUAGGACAGUUUGGUUGGGGCGACCGCCUUUUAGAGAGUAACGAAGGUGCGCUUAAGGUGCGUAAUUAAUGACUGAAGCCUGACUGCGAGGGGGACACCCCGAGCAGACACCCCCAAGCCCGCCCGAGAAGGCUUUGCCUUCUGGGCGGCGGUGGGGUGG
rnacentral:rRNA from 1 species